GCAACUUUGGCCGAGCGGUUAAGGCGUCAGAUUCAAGAGAAGAGCUCUUUCCAGCUUUGCUGGGAUUCCUGAUGACGAAAGUCGCGUGGGUUCAAGUCCCACAGGUUGCA
rnacentral:tRNA from 1 species